rnacentral:lncRNA from 1 species
GUGCCACCCCCGGGCGCAGCCCGUGCGCAGACCCAUCACCCAUUGUGACCUCAGAGAAGCAGAGCCUGGGCAGGUGUGCCGCCCCCCGGGACCACAGGCCCAGCUCCAGGACCCCCCCGAUGAUCCUUUCCAGGAUCCCGCUCCUGCUUCCAGGACCCCCACCCGUCUCACACGGGCCCCUCUAACCUCGGGGCCUUCCCUGGCUCCGCUUGGCAUCCCCCUAAUUUUUACUCUCCAGCACUGCUCUACUGGUUGAAAGUGGCUUUGAGGAGCCCGAUUACUUGUGUGUCUCCCCCUGAGAAGUAGAUGUCACUGAAAAUGGGACCUCUGACAGCUCUUCAAAUGUGAAAAAAGAUUUCGAAGCAGCGAAUGGACAAUUUAUGUGCAAGUUUAUUUGUAAAACAGAUUUCAAGACAUACUUCAUCUUGGCUCCAC